UACGUAGGGAGCAAGCGUUGUUCGGAUUUACUGGGCGUAAAGGGCGCGUAGGCGGCGCGGUAAGUCACUUGUGAAAUCUCUGAGCUUAACUCAGAACGGCCAAGUGAUACUGCAGUGCUAGAGUGCAGAAGGGGCAAUCGGAAUUCUUGGUGUAGCGGUGAAAUGCGCAGAUAUCGGGAGGAACACCAGUAGCGAAGGCGGCACUCUGGGCCGGUACUGACACUGAGGAGCGAAAGCGUGGGGAGCGAACAGG
rnacentral:rRNA from 1 species